UACGGGGGGGGUAAGCGUUGUUCGGAAUUACUGGGCGUAAAGGGCUCGUAGGCGGCCAACUAAGUCAGACGUGAAAUCCCUCAGCUUAACUGGGGAACUGCGUCUGAUACUGGAUGGCUUGGAUCCGGGAGAGGGAUGCGGAAUUCCAGGUGUAGCGGUGAAAUGCGUAGAUAUCAGGAGGAACACCGGUGGCGAAGGCGGCUACCUGGACAGAAACUGACGCUGAGGCGCGAAAGCUAGGGGAGCAAACAGG
rnacentral:rRNA from 1 species